rnacentral:rRNA from 1 species
AAUGAACGUUGGCGGCGUGGAUUAGGCAUGCAAGUCGAGCGCUCAUCAGCAAUGGUGGGAGCGGCGAACGGCGUAGUAAUGCAUCGGAACGUACCCUCUGGACGGGGAUAGCCACGGGAAACUGUGGGUAAUACCCGAUAAUCUCUGCGGAGCAAAGGUGUGAUUCCGCCGGAGGAGCGGCUGAUGUGAUAUUAGCUAGUUGGUGGGGUAAAGGCCUACCAAGGCGAUGAUGUCUAGGGGGUGUGAGAGCAUGGCCCCCACGACCGGAACUGAGAUACUGUCCGGACACCUACGGGUGGCUGCAGUCGAGAAUCUUUGGCAAUGGGCGCAAGCCUGACCAAGCGACGCUGCGUGCGGGAUGAAGGCCCUUGGGUUGUAAACCGCUGUCAGGGGGGAUCAAGGCGAAAGCUUGAGAGAGCCCAGAGGAAGCACGGGCUAAGUUCGUG